UUAAGCGACUAAGCGUACACGGUGGAUGCCCUGGCAGUCAGAGGCGAUGAAGGACGUGCUAAUCUGCGAUAAGCGUCGGUGAGGUGAUAUGAACCGUUAUAACCGGCGAUUUCCGAAUGGGGAAACCCAGUGUGUUUCGACACACUAUCAUUAACUGAAUCCAUAGGUUAAUGAGGCGAACCGGGGGAACUGAAACAUCUAAGUACCCCGAGGAAAAGAAAUCAACCGAGAUUCCCCCAGUAGCGGCGAGCGAACGGGGAGGAGCCCAGAGCCUGAAUCAGUGUGUGUGUUAGUGGAAGCGUCUGGAAAGGCGCGCGAUACAGGGUGACAGCCCCGUACACAAAAAUGCACAUAUUGUGAGCUCGAUGAGUAGGGCGGGACACGUGGUAUCCUGUCUGAAUAUGGGGGGACCAUCCUCCAAGGCUAAAUACUCCUGACUGACCGAUAGUGAACCAGUACCGUGAGGGAAAGGCGAAAAGAACCCCGGCGAGGGGAGUGAAAAAGAACCUGAAACCGUGUACGUACAAGCAGUGGGAGCCUCUUAAUGGGGUGACUGCGUACCUUUUGUAUAAUGGGUCAGCGACUUAUAUUCUGUAGCAAGGUUAACCGAAUAGGGGAGCCGAAGGGAAACCGAGUCUUAACUGGGCGUUAAGUUGCAGGGUAUAGACCCGAAACCCGGUGAUCUAGCCAUGGGCAGGUUGAAGGUUGGGUAACACUAACUGGAGGACCGAACCGACUAAUGUUGAAAAAUUAGCGGAUGACUUGUGGCUGGGGGUGAAAGGCCAAUCAAACCGGGAGAUAGCUGGUUCUCCCCGAAAGCUAUUUAGGUAGCGCCUCGUGAAUUCAUCUCCGGGGGUAGAGCACUGUUUCGGCAAGGGGGUCAUCCCGACUUACCAACCCGAUGCAAACUGCGAAUACCGGAGAAUGUUAUCACGGGAGACACACGGCGGGUGCUAACGUCCGUCGUGAAGAGGGAAACAACCCAGACCGCCAGCUAAGGUCCCAAAGUCAUGGUUAAGUGGGAAACGAUGUGGGAAGGCCCAGACAGCCAGGAUGUUGGCUUAGAAGCAGCCAUCAUUUAAAGAAAGCGUAAUAGCUCACUGGUCGAGUCGGCCUGCGCGGAAGAUGUAACGGGGCUAAACCAUGCACCGAAGCUGCGGCAGCGACACUAUGUGUUGUUGGGUAGGGGAGCGUUCUGUAAGCCUGUGAAGGUGGCCUGUGAGGGUUGCUGGAGGUAUCAGAAGUGCGAAUGCUGACAUAAGUAACGAUAAAGCGGGUGAAAAGCCCGCUCGCCGGAAGACCAAGGGUUCCUGUCCAACGUUAAUCGGGGCAGGGUGAGUCGACCCCUAAGGCGAGGCCGAAAGGCGUAGUCGAUGGGAAACAGGUUAAUAUUCCUGUACUUGGUGUUACUGCGAAGGGGGGACGGAGAAGGCUAUGUUGGCCGGGCGACGGUUGUCCCGGUUUAAGCGUGUAGGCUGGUUUUCCAGGCAAAUCCGGAAAACCAAGGCUGAGGCGUGAUGACGAGGCACUACGGUGCUGAAGCGACAAAUGCCCUGCUUCCAGGAAAAGCCUCUAAGCAUCAGGUAACAUCAAAUCGUACCCCAAACCGACACAGGUGGUCAGGUAGAGAAUACCAAGGCGCUUGAGAGAACUCGGGUGAAGGAACUAGGCAAAAUGGUGCCGUAACUUCGGGAGAAGGCACGCUGAUAUGUAGGUGAAGCGACUUGCUCGUGGAGCUGAAAUCAGUCGAAGAUACCAGCUGGCUGCAACUGUUUAUUAAAAACACAGCACUGUGCAAACACGAAAGUGGACGUAUACGGUGUGACGCCUGCCCGGUGCCGGAAGGUUAAUUGAUGGGGUUAGCGGCAACGCGAAGCUCUUGAUCGAAGCCCCGGUAAACGGCGGCCGUAACUAUAACGGUCCUAAGGUAGCGAAAUUCCUUGUCGGGUAAGUUCCGACCUGCACGAAUGGCGUAAUGAUGGCCAGGCUGUCUCCACCCGAGACUCAGUGAAAUUGAACUCGCUGUGAAGAUGCAGUGUACCCGCGGCAAGACGGAAAGACCCCGUGAACCUUUACUAUAGCUUGACACUGAACAUUGAGCCUUGAUGUGUAGGAUAGGUGGGAGGCUUUGAAGUGUGGACGCCAGUCUGCAUGGAGCCGACCUUGAAAUACCACCCUUUAAUGUUUGAUGUUCUAACGUUGGCCCGUAAUCCGGGUUGCGGACAGUGUCUGGUGGGUAGUUUGACUGGGGCGGUCUCCUCCUAAAGAGUAACGGAGGAGCACGAAGGUUGGCUAAUCCUGGUCGGACAUCAGGAGGUUAGUGCAAUGGCAUAAGCCAGCUUGACUGCGAGCGUGACGGCGCGAGCAGGUGCGAAAGCAGGUCAUAGUGAUCCGGUGGUUCUGAAUGGAAGGGCCAUCGCUCAACGGAUAAAAGGUACUCCGGGGAUAACAGGCUGAUACCGCCCAAGAGUUCAUAUCGACGGCGGUGUUUGGCACCUCGAUGUCGGCUCAUCACAUCCUGGGGCUGAAGUAGGUCCCAAGGGUAUGGCUGUUCGCCAUUUAAAGUGGUACGCGAGCUGGGUUUAGAACGUCGUGAGACAGUUCGGUCCCUAUC
rnacentral:rRNA from 1 species